AAAUACGGGGCAUCUGUAACGUUGAGACGGGCUGUAUCCACUGUCAUUCAAAGAAUAACUUCCGUGCCUUUUACGUUCACCCCGCCGUGUUAAAUAGCUGCGGCGGGAUUGUGCGAGAAUUGCGAAGUCUGAAUGUCGACCUGAAGACCAGCUGCCCUGACCGAGGUGCCUCAAAUGGGCCGCGCGAUAUCUCCAAGCCAUGACAAUGGACCCGCCGUCACUAAAUAACACAGACUGCAGUCUCAUUCGAAAGCGAACAGUGACGAGUGGCAGCCGGCAGCACAAGAGCCCAGCACAGAUGACAAAGGAUAGAAGGUGACGCUGGUUCACGCAGCAGACAGUCGCGAUGGUGCGGACCGUACGGACGGUGGUGCUGGUGGUGAUGCUCCUGGUGCUGGCGGUGCACGCAGCACCCUGGCUCAACUGGUUCACGCAGGGCACCAACAGGCACAGGCUGGGAGGCCCUGGGCGCUCUGGCAGGGAUCGGUUCCGGUCCAUCUGCCGAACCAUCAACCCGGACAACUACGCGUUUCCCGGAAGAGCUCCCUAUCCUUCCGCACCGCUCUGCCCCUACUAGCGUCCGGAGUUUUCAGACAAAGAAUCUAUCAGAGCAUCAGAAGUGUGGUGAAUGUGGAAUUCAAAAGUGUUGGACCUUGAACAAAGUGACAGAUGCAAGCAGAGGUGUCCCAGACAGGGAAACAGGGCUCCUCGAGCUACAGCAGAACUCAACUCACCUGAUGCUCUCAGUGUUCUGGAUGGUAUAUUUGCACCAACAACAGUUUGUGAGAUGUAUAGUGAAACUCAUCCAUGCUGACCACUUUGUAUUUCCAUUCAAAUGCUGUAUAAAAUUCAUUUCUUGGAUAUAAACAUAACUUCAAAGCCUUUAUAUAACUCUGUGAGGUUUGAGGUUCUUGAAA